UCUUCUAUUGUUUUCUAUAUCUAUAUUGUGUUCUGUUCCACUAUCUGUCCUAUGGACUAACUUUUUUACCUACAUCCGUCCAUGAUAUGGGAACCCUUGCUCAUUUAACACGACACUCGGGCGUCGGCAUGGCGCGUUGCUUUCGGUGAAUGCCCUACACCCUUGCAUAUUUCUUGCUACACCCGGGCUCCGAUGUAGCGUGUCGUUAGUAGAGGACGCCCUAACGUUUAUAUCAUUUGAAUCCAU
rnacentral:misc_RNA from 1 species